rnacentral:lncRNA from 1 species
ACUUAGCAAGAAACUCCUUGGGAGGAGCGCAGGAAAUUUUCUGUUGAGGUUGGGUUUGGGUGUAAUUCCUAUCAGUAUUUUUGGCUAAGAAAUUGUGCCUUUGAAGAGUACCAGAUUUGUGGUCUCAUUCUCAAUGGGCGAUGUCAUGUCAAGGAUACCUCCUCCUCACCCCCCCCCCCCUUUAAGAGACAAUUGGGAGAAAAUAAAAUUACUGCUUUUCUUACCUUUAAUUUCAAACACACCCUCCUAAAGAUUCACAACCUUUAAAAGAUCCAGUAACAUAAAGGUCAUUUUAGCAAUUCUCUUUUUGUUGGGUUGGCUUGUUUUGUGUGAAAUUUCUUUUCUGGGGGUGGGAUGGUGGAGACUUUGUUUGGGCCUCAUGCCAGUAAUAUUGUCUUCUCUCUUCAUUUUGCCACAGCAGUUGUUUGCUGUGUUUCCCCCUGCAGUAGAGCUUGAUUGCUGCAGGAUUCAAUCCCUUAAUUAGGAAUAUUCUUAGUUGGAUAUGCUAGUAAUACUAUGCUGAAUUUACAUUAAAAGCUUUAACUUUAAAAUUUGAUUUGGUAUUAAGGCUUUAGCAAGCUUUUAUUUCUAAUAUGUGUCUUUCAGGACAUAGUUGUGCAAAUAAUUGGCAGUUACAAAUUGUGUUUUUUUAUUAACACAGAAUAUGAAUUUAGAGUAAUUUACUCCUUCACGGUCUAUUUAAAAGAUCAUUGUUUGAUUUCAGAGGGAAGGAUUUUCUGUAAUAUAUUUAAAGCUGCUGGUAUAUAUAAUUUUAAGAGUCAGAAAGGAAACCAGUUUUUUCGCAAAAUAUUUGUGCAUAUGUUGGUUUUGACAGAGCAUACCCUGUUUUGGUACAUCCUCCCACCCCCUUAAAAAUGGGCUAAUAUUUGUGGCUGCUAUAAGCAGCCAUUGAGCCGAGAGGACUGGGUGGAGUAAGGGUGCGCCAGCAAAGCUGUGAAAUGCUCAGUUGCCCUUUCACUGGGUUUUUUUCUCAUCCUUAAUGAUUGUAAGGUUAUUCAGUAUUAAUUGUAGGGACAAUUAAGGCAUUUCUCUAUAGUGGAUCUUAGAAUCUCAGUUUUUCUACCUUUUUUUUUUCUUCUUCAAGAAGGGCAUUGAGUAAUUGGAAUAAAGGCAGUAUCCUUGCUCUGAAACAAGUACUUACUGUCCAUGUGUGUGCAUGUAUUAAAAAAACUCCACAUAUGCUCUGGCUAGUUUUUUUUUUUUAAUUAUUCUAGCCAAAUGGGUGUUAAAUUAAUGAAUGCUAGGGAUAUUUGGCUACAAAAAGCAUGGUAUAGUGAAAAAAAAAAUCUAGUUAAGAAUACUAGUUUUCACUAAAAUAGUUUUUUUUUUUUCUCUUGAUGAACAUCAAAGAUGAGAAAAUAGACAGUGGUUAUUUUGUAUUAAGAGCUCUUUAAAUAGACCUUUUCUCUUGUGUUGCUUCUUGCAUAGGACCUUUUCUGUGAUAAAGAGCAUAGCUCACUUUAGUUUCUUGUAAAGAAUUGUAAAUAUGACAAUGUAAUUCUAAUGAACCUUAUGAGUGUUGUAACUUUGUAUUUACAUUUUUUGCUAUUUUUCCAUGUCCAUUAUGAAGUAGAAAGGCUAUUAUGGUGAUGGAUGAGAACAUUACUAUAUUGUGUCUCAAAUAUCUUUAGCCCUACUCUUCCUAGUUAAGAGUGGUGAGCCUCCACCCCAAGCCCACGGCCACCCAGGAGCUUACUGAUAAUUUGAUGGAGAGUACAAAUGUGCUUUCAUUCCUGGUACUUUCUCUGAAUCUUACUUAAUUUGAUGGAAUCAAUUUUAAAAAUCACAAUUUUUUUUUUUUUUUUUUGGAGGCAGGGUUUCUCUGUGUAUCCCUGGCUGUCCUGGAACUCACUUUGUAGACCAGACUGGCCUGGAACUCAGAAAUCCGCCUGCCUCUGCCCCUCCAAGUGCUGGGACUAAAGGCGUGCGCCCGGCCCACAAUUCUAUAUUUUUAAAAGUUUAAUGAAGUCUGUUUGAAUUUCUUUUUUUUUUUUUUUUCACUUGUUCAUUUUUAUGUGUUUGUGCAUCAACUUACAAGGAUUACAGCUUUCCUGUCACCAUGUAGGUCCUGUGGAUUGGACUCAAUCAAGUCAGAUUUAGUGGCACACAUCUUUAUCCACUGAGUGGUUUCACCACCUCUCUCUCUUGCUCCUUUUGAGAUGAUGUCUUAUUGUUAUGUAUAGCCCAGGCUGUCCUUGAAUUUGCUGUGGAGCUAGUCCUGACCUUGAGCUCUUGAUAGUUACAGACACUCUUGCCUGGCUUAAUUCUCUCUCCUUAUGUAUCCUAAGCAGUCCUCUAACUGCCUUUUUUCUACCUUAGAGGCCGCCUGAGUGCUGUAAAGCAGAUGUGUGUCAACAUACCACACUUUUAGUAGUGUAUAUUUUUAAGCCCUGUUAUAUACAUAACUUUCUGAAUAAAAUAUCCAUAUUAUGAAAGGAUUUGUUUCUGGGAAUGAAAACUCAGUAUCUUAUAAUUGUUGGUUUUCUAGUUUAGAACAUCCACGUUACAGGUCUGUUUUAUUUAAGAAAAGGAAAGUGGGGCUGGUGAGAUGGUUUAUUUACCACUUGCUGCUAAGCUUAUCAGUAUGAGUUUGAUCCCCAGUGUCCACAUGGUGGACAGAUCCAAGCCCCACAAUUUGUCCUCUGACUGACACAUACACAUAAUGGUAAAAAGGGAAAGUAAAUGUUGCUGGCUCUUAGAUUAUAUGCGAAGCUAUCUGGAUAUCUGGAUGUGCAUGGGUGUAAAUGACUUAAUGCUUGUAUUUUAAGUAUGUAGGAAAAAGGGACCUUUUUGUUUGUAUAUGGUUCAUAUUAUUAUUCACAAUUGUCAUCUCAGUAAGUGAACUAUAGUAAUUGUAGACCAUGUCAUUACUAAGGUAGCACUUUCUAGUUGGAGUACAUGAGUGUGUGUGGCUAGUUGUAAGUGUGAGUACAGUGCACAUAUUGGAUCCUCUGAAGACAGGUGGUUGUGAUCAUGGUUGCUGGGACUAAACUCUGGUCCUCUGUGAGAACAGUAAAUGCUCUUAACCACUGAACUCUCCCUCCAGACUAAUAUUAUUUUACAUUACUUAUAUUUGUGUGUGUGUGUGUGUGUUCUUUGUGUGAAUUAGGUCAGGGUACAAAUUUAGGGGUACUCUUUCCACUCUUGAAUCUCAAAGUUCAAACUCAGGUUGGACAGGCUUGCAAGCAAGCACCUUUACUUUCUGAGCCAUAUUGCCCAUUUUAAACAAGCCCCUUCCAGUACCCAGGAGGCAGAGGUGGAUCUUUGUGAGGUCCAAGCCAACCUGCUUCAAAC